AACGUAGGACGCAAGCGUUAUCCGGAGUUACUGGGCGUAAAGCGCGGGCAGGCGGCUCGAUGCAUCCGAUGUGAAAUCUCCUCGCUCAACGGGGAGAGGCCAUUGGAAACGGUCGAGCUGGAGGGCAGUAGAGGCAGAUGGAAUUCCCGGUGUAGCGGUGGAAUGCGUAGAGAUCGGGAAGAACAUCAGUGGCGAAGGCGGUCUGCUGGGCCGUUGCUGACGCUGAGGCGCGACAGCGUGGGGAGCAAACAGG
rnacentral:rRNA from 1 species